rnacentral:rRNA from 1 species
GAUGAACGCUGGCGGCGUGCCUAAUACAUGCAAGUCGAGCGAACAGACGAGGAGCUUGCUCCUCUGACGUUAGCGGCGGACGGGUGAGUAACACGUGGAUAACCUACCUAUAAGACUGGGAUAACUUCGGGAAACCGGAGCUAAUACCGGAUAAUAUAUUGAACCGCAUGGUUCAAUAGUGAAAGACGGUUUUGCUGUCACUUAUAGAUGGAUCCGCGCCGCAUUAGCUAGUUGGUAGGGUAACGGCUUACCAAGGCGACGAUGCGUAGCCGACCUGAGAGGGUGAUCGACCACACUGGAACUGAGACACGGUCCAGACUCCUACGGGAGGCAGCAGUAGGGAAUCUUCCGCAAUGGGCGAAAGCCUGACGGAGCAACGCCGCGUGAGUGAUGAAGGUCUUCGGAUCGUAAAACUCUGUUAUUAGGGAAGAACAAAUGUGUAAGUAACUAUGCACGUCUUGACGGUACCUAAUCAGAAAGCCACGGCUAACUACGUG